rnacentral:rRNA from 1 species
GUGCAAGCCGCCGCGGUAAUACGUAGGGGGCAAGCGUUGUCCGGAUUUAUUGGGCGUAAAGAGCGUGUAGGCGGCCAGAUAAGUCUGCUGUGAAAACUCGAGGCUCAACCUCGAGCUGUCGGCGGAAACUAUUUGGCUAGAGUCCGGAAGAGGAAAGCGGAAUUCCUGGUGUAGCGGUGAAAUGCGCAGAUAUCAGGAAGAACACCCGUGGCGAAGGCGGCUUUCUGGGACGGUACUGACGCUGAGACGCGAAAGCGUGGGGAGCGAACAGGAUUAGAUACCCCCGUAGUCC